rnacentral:rRNA from 1 species
GUACAUGCCUACAACAUAACGUUAAUGCACCAUAUCCCAUUAGAACUCCGUAGUUAAGCACUCUUGGGAUAUAGUAGUAUUGGUAUGGGUGACCACCUGAGAAGUCCUAGUGUUUUGUAUG